rnacentral:misc_RNA from 1 species
GAUGAAGAACGUAGCGAAAUGCGAUAAGUAAUGUGAAUUGCAGAAUUCAGUGAAUCAUCGAAUCUUUGAACGCACAUUGCGCCCCCUGGUAUUCCGGGGGGCAUGCCUGUUCGAGCGUCAUUUCACCACUCAAGCCUCGCUUGGUAUUGGGCAACGCGGUCCGCCGCGUGCCUCAAAUCGACCGGCUGGGUCUUCUGUCCCCCAAGCGUUGUGGAAACUUUCGCUAAAGGGUGUUCGGGAGGCUACGCCGUAAAACAACCCCAUUUCUAAGGUUGACCUCGGAUCAGGUAGGGAUACCCGCUGAACUUAAGCAUAUCAAUAAGCGGAGGA